rnacentral:rRNA from 1 species
UGCGUAGGCGGAUUAAUAAGUCAGUGGUGAAAACCUGCAGCUUAACUGUAGACCUGCCAUUGAUACUGUUAGUCUUGAGUACGGUCAAGGUAGGCGGAAUGUGUAAUGUAGCGGUGAAAUGCUUAGAUAUUACACAGAACACCGAUUGCGAAGGCAGCUUACUGGGCCAUUACUGACGCUGAGGCACGAAAGCGUGGGGAGCGAAAAGGAUUAGAUACCCUGGUAGUC